GGUGCGGGCGUGCACACACUCCACACGCCGGGACUGGAAGCCGUAGUUGCCGCAGGUCGCUGUGCACAGGGUCCACAGGCUGACCCUCCAGUGUACACUGCAAGCCUCGGACCAGCAGUUCUGGGUGCUCACAGGCCUGCAGGAGAUGGGGGCCAGAUGAGGCAGGGAGCAGUCAGAUGUGAAAACAUUAUUGCAAACCUGGGGACUGUUGGGCAACUCAAGAAAUUUAAGCUUUCAGGUCCAGUGCUGUUAUCUUCUGCUCUUAUGUAAUGGCCAGAUGGUUAGAAGGUGGCUUCCUUUAAUUGGGCCACCGUAUGCUUUGCUUUGUAGUGUCUACAUCCCUGCAUGAUGCACAAAUGAGUUCUACCCAGUUCAGGAGCCUCUAAUAAUCUGCCUCAUGCCCAUCCUGGGCCUGCUAUAGGUUCCUUUUGGAACAGAACACAGCCUCCCUUAGUGGAACAACACCCUGGACUGUCUGUAUCCCCGGAGAGGAAAGCCCAGCAUAUCCUAUUUAAUAAGUACAACCCACCCUGAGACAAUGACUUCUGGGGAGCCCAGUGGCUGAAGCAAUGCAGGUCAGAGGGCAGGGUACCUGGCCAUGGGGAUGGUGGGAGUUUGCAGGAAGAGCAUUCACUUACACCAUCACUGAUGGCAGGGGCUGGGGAAAGGAGUUGCAGAGCUUUCUCUUACCUCGGGAGGGCACUGCAUUGCUCUGACGGUAAGGCGAUACCAUCCCGUGUCUGGCAGAAGACUUGUCUAUGUUGCACAGCAAGGUGAGGCCCAAUACAAGGCCCAUUACACUGGAAAGCAGAAAAAGGCAGUUUUUAUGAGUUAGGGGUAAAGCUGCAGUCCUCAGGCUAUGUGGGACACAGGAACCCUGGGUGGGCAGGCUCUUGGGUCUUUGGGUCAUUCAUCUUUCCCCUCUUUGGGCCAAAUAAGGGACAUUUGCUGGCACGCUUCCUUUGUGCCACCAUGAAAUGGUUGGUUUUUUCUGUGGCCCGUGGGCACUUGGCUAGCAAAUGGUUGUGUACUCCGGGCCGAAAAAGCCACCCUUCUCUCAGAUUAACUACAUGAAAAAGAUCUAGGCUUAAGCUUCCCAGUUGAAGGCCUCUGAAUAACACUCCUUGCCUCAGUGCACAAAAUGAUUUGCUUUCUUGUGAAAAUCACCCGUUCCUUGGCUUUAUUUUCUCCAGCAGAAACUCAGGACAGCGGGACAGAAAGCAGACUCAGGAAAUCCCAGAUGGCCCAGCUGAACCAUGGUGUUCGGAUGGCAAAAAAUGCAGAAACGUCAGCUGCCAAUCAGGAUGUCAAGGGUUGGCACGGCUAGAGUCAUGAAACUCCACUCUACUUGGCUGGUAGACACCUAAAUGCCUAUCACAGAUGCUGACAGAAGAUAGAGGUGGGCCAGGCUGAGCAUGGAGUUACGUAGCCACGAGCCAAGGAGCACCUGGAGCCCCAGAAGCUGGAAAGGUACAAGAGCAGAUUCCCUUCUAGCGCCACUGCAGCAGUGAGGGCUUGUCAACACCCUGAUUUUGGACUUGUGGUUUACAAAAUGGUGAGAGAAUGCAUUUCUGCUGUUUGACACCGUGUCUGGCAAUUUGUUUUUAUCAGCCUGUGGA